ACAGAUGGAGACGUCCCACCUCCACCCAGUCCGGCCUGGCCUUUGUCCCCGGGUGACCGCGGAUUGGGGAGGCGGGAGCUAGCGAGCAGGCCCUCAGGCGCGUCUGCCACCUCCUUUGUCUUGGUGCCCACGUCUGGUUAGGAUCCCUGCUGUCCAUUUUAUUAUUAAAGGAGCUGUAAAAAGCGGCCUGGGGCCCAGCGACCGGCCCACGGCGGACGAGGAGGCGCAACUAGCCCGUUGCCGCAGGGUCUCUGCCUAGUGUGCUCAGGUGGGAGGGCGGGGACAUGAAUCGAGCCAAAGAGUGCCCUGCGCACGGAGACCCCCCGGGCCCCGAACCUAGCCUCCGAAGCCCUAGCCACUCGCCAGCUCCUGCGAGACGAGCCUUCUGAGCGCAGCUCAGGCAUCUGGUUCAGGGUCUGACCGCCAGAGUCGUCUGAGGCCUCCAUCCGUCUGUUUUCACGAAAAAGGCUCUGGGGGGACUAAUAAGCACUUCCUGAAGGCACAUUUGCUCCAUGCCCCUGCUGUAGGGAGUGGGUCUGCAGACAUUUCAACAAAUAGAAUCCUGGGACCUUACCUGAUCGAACCCAGGAUACUACACUGCAUUUAGUUACAUUAAUGUUUUACUCUUUAGGUCAAAUAAAGCUAUUUUAAAUAUUUCAUUCUCGGCCAGGCACAGUGGCUCACGCCUGUAAUCCUAGCACUUUGGGAGGCUGAGGCAGGUGGAUCACCUGAGGUCAGGAGUUCAAGACCAGCCUGGGCAACAUGGUGAAACCCCAUCUCUACUAAAAGUACAAAAAUCAGCCGGGCACGGCAGCAUGUGCCUGUAAUCCCAGCUACUUGGGAGGCUGAAGCAGGAGAAUCACUUGAACCUGGAAGGCAGAGGUUGCAGUGCCAAGAUUGUGCUACUGCGCUCCAACCUAGGCAACAGAGUGAGACUCUGUCUCGAGAAGAAAAAAAAAACCUCUGCAGAAGCAAUGGUUAAUAUACUUACUUGGUGUUCGAGGAAACUGUCCAGUUCAAUCCUUCACUCUCUGGCCUUUGAACUAGUCCCUCACUGCCACUCCCAUAAUACCUAAAGUGACUUUCUUACCUCUGCUUCCUCUCCACCAGUGCUGCUACCCGUCUUCCGUAACACCAGCUAAAUGUCUCCUAUCCAUGGACUUUUUCUUGGUUUUCUUAUAGUUCAUCCUUCAUUUUAUCCUGCAUUGUUGUUUCUACCAAAGCAUAAGUUCCUAAGGGUCUUUGCAGAUGUAAUCAAGUUAAGAUGAGGUCAUACUGGAUUAGGCUGGGCCCUAAAUCCAAUGACUGAUGUCCCUGUAAGAAGAGAAGUGACACAGAGACACACAGGGAGAGCACCGUGAGAUGACGGAUGCAGAGAUUAGAGUCGCACACCUACAAACUGAGGAACACCACAGAGCGCCGCGACACCAGAAGCCAGGCAGAGGCGAGGAAAGACUCUUCCCCUGGGUCUUCAGAAGGAGCAUGGGCCUGCAGACACCCUGAUUUUACACUUCUGGCCUCUGGAACUGAGAUAAUAAAUUUCUCUUGGUUUUUAU
rnacentral:lncRNA from 1 species